GUGGCGCUGGUGUCGGUUCCUCGGUUGCUCAAAAAUCUAUUUGGCAUCGCUCUCGACUCUUCCUGAGUGGCCUGGGAGAUGGGUUCCACGGGACUUUUUGCCAAUACCCGAAAAGACCUUUUUGUGCACCCUCGUUUCUCCACAUACAAGUAACACGCUUGAUUGUCAUGUGGAGAAACAAUCUGUUUAUGCAUUUACCUUCUUUACUAGAAGAUGUCAGUGACUGGCACAGAGAAGCUGCUCAAUGAGUGUUUCUUAGAUGGUGAACACAGCAUCUGCUGCUUUGCCAUCCAGUACUUCUGCUGCUCUGACUGCGCGGUGCCCCAGGCCUGCGUCACCACCACAAAUGGAAAAUGGAUGCGUCAGCUGCUUGGGGUUCCAUCUCAGACAGGCUCCUGGUACGUUCCCAGGAGUGCUGCCAUUGUGGUAAGUAUUUUCCACCAUGACCUGACUAUCCGCACUCCUUCUGAAAUUCCAACCUGCUGUGGGCCGUCAUACCAAGGAGUGAUCUUUUGCUACCCUGCUGUCGCAGAAGGACUGGGCCACCUUGCUCCAAGGGCCUUUCUCCCAUGAACUCUUUGGCAGCUAUUUUGUCCACCAAACAGCUGGGUCAGGAAGCUGGGAAUUGUCCCUCUGGUUCGGGUUUAUUAAAUACUUUUAAAAUACUUAAAAAAGUUAAA